CCUACGGGAGGCAGCAGUGGGGGAUAUUGCACAAUGGGGGGAACCCUGAUGCAGCGACGCCGCGUGAAGGAAGAAGUAUCUCGGUAUGUAAACUUCUAUCAGCAGGGAAGAAAAUGACGGUACCUGACUAAGAAGCCCCGGCUAACUACGUGCCAGCAGCCGCGGUAAUACGUAGGGGGCAAGCGUUAUCCGGAUUUACUGGGUGUAAAGGGAGCGUAGGCGGCAGUGCAAGUCAGAAGUGAAAGCCCGGGGCUCAACUCCGGGACUGCUUUUGAAACUGUACAGCUUGAUUGCAGGAGAGGCAAGUGGAAUUCCUAGUGUAGCGGUGAAAUGCGUAGAUAUUAGGAGGAACACCAGUGGCGAAGGCGGCUUGCUGGACUGUAAAUGACGCUGAGGCUCGAAAGCGUGGGGAGCAAACAGGAUUAGAUACCCCAGUAGUC
rnacentral:rRNA from 1 species